UUUCACACGUACCUUCGGUGAGGUUUUCGAGAGGAAUUGAAAUUUAGGUUUUAACUUUACUUCACAGUCAAAUUCAAGAAGCAAGUUUCAUAUAAUAAUACAUCCCGCAGCAAAUCGCUAUCUCUAAUAUUCUUCGGUGAGGGUUUAUGAGGAAUUGAAAUUUAGGUUUUAAUUUCACAGUCGUCAAAUACUCUAGAGAUUUACUGCAAAUUAAGGUUAGGGUGAGAUUUUAUUGAGAAUUACAAGGUUUCGAUUUCACAUUCAAAGAUGCACAAUUCUGGAGCUGAAAUCCCUAACCAGAUGGAUACUUCUCACCAAUCCGACUUUACUUAUCCGGUUCAUAUAGUUGUUCCUUAUGAAUGGGCAAAUCUAGAGGAUCUUGUGGCGAAUUAUCGGCUUCUUAUUAAUGCGGCCACCACAAUGGAAAAUUUACUCGAACAAUUCUCACUACCCAAGGCUGAUUUAACUUCUCAACAUGGUCUACUAAUUGUCAAUCUCUUAGUGCUCUCUUUGAUAAAAUCAAAAAGGGUCAAACAGAGUUCAGUAGUUAUAUCAAAGGCAAAUAGGUAACUCAGCCGCAUAUUGAGAGUGAACCUGGUGUUUUAAUUACUGAGGUGAUUGGUGGGGAUAAAGAUGGCAGUGAUGAGAGGCAUAAUGAGAACAAGGAGACUGAGCCGGAUAUUGAGAUUGAUCGUGGUGUUGAGAGCGAACCUGGUGUUUUAGUUACUGAGGUGAUUGGUGGGGAUAAAGAUGGCAGUCAUGAGAGGCAUAAUGAGAACAAGGAGAAUGAGCCGGAUAUUGAGAUUGAUCGUGGUGUUGCGAAUGCGAAUUCUGUGUGGACUGAUGAGGAGCAAGAACAUGUGGUGACUGUUAACACUGGAACUAUUGAUUCAGAUUCUGAGACAGAUUUUAACAGUUCCGAUGUUUCCGUUUCUACUACGUCACUGUCUGCUAGCGACUUUGAAUACGUUGGAAAAUUGUAUGCAAAAACCCCUUCUCCUCCUCCUCCUGCUCCUGCUCCGACUCCGAGGUGGAAAUUCCGGGAACGUUGUCAUAGACCCGGAUUUUAUAGCAAGAAAACCUCUAGCACAAAGAGAGGUCGAGGUCGAGGUCGUGGUAGGGAACAAACUGGAAGGGGCGUUUUAAUAAAAAACACAGCAAAGAAGUUUAAUUGGGCUGAGGAUUUGAAGCGGCGGCAAGAGUAUUGGGAUUGACAAAAGAAGAGGAAAGAGGAUAUGGGUGAGAAAUUGAGGAGGCGGAAGAGGCGUGAAUAUUUGAAAGCACUCACAUUGGACAAGUUGUUGGAUGAGAGGUAUCACGACAAGAAACAUGAGAAGUUUGAACAAAUGAAAGAGAAGGAAAUAGAUGAACAGAGAGAUAAGCAAAGAGAUGAGCAAAUAAAAAAACAGGAGUCGAAGAAAAAGAGGGAGGAAGAUGAAAGAACAAGGAAAUACAAAGAUAUAGAUGUGCAUGAUAAUGAGAGGACAAGUUCCUUCAUGUACGAUGCUGAUAAUGAGGUGGAACCUACCCCUGCUGAGCUUGUAAGGGAGAACGAGGAGAGAGAGAGAGCGAUAAACCUGACAAGAAGAUUAAGAUAGGGCUAAACGGGAUCGAUAAAGUGGGCAUCUUAUAUGCUAAGGCAAUCCUUGAAAGGGGUGAUUUGGACAUCGUAGCCAUCAAUGAUCCAUAUUGCAACACUGAAUACAUAGGGAAACUGCUACCUGGAAGUAAAAACAUUCCUGUGUUCAAUUCCUGGAAACCAGACGACAUCCCACGGGGAACUGUUGGGGCUGAUGUUGUUAUUGAAUCAACUGGCGUCUUCGCUGAUUCUAAGAAUGCAUCUCUACAUUUGAAGCAUGGUGUUAAGAAGGUGUUUAUAUCCUCACCUAGGAAGGAUGCACCCAUGUUUUUCAUGGAAGUUAAUGGGAGAUUGUAUAGUUCGAAACUGAAUGAGGGUGAUGAGACAAUCGUGAAAGUCAUCAACCAAAAUCUCGAGCACCUGAACAGUGAAGAACCGGGGAAGCAAGCGGUCCAGUCUUUUAGAGUUCCCGUGUUACUGACUUGAAUGCAAGUUGUUGCAGGUCGACUUCAAAGAGGAGGAUGAGAUUUAGGUCAUGUUUCACAUGAUUGCAGGUGGCUACGGGAAAGAAUGCAUAAACCAGUUAUGAUUUUUUUUUCUUUCGUAAAACUGUAGGCCUUAAAUCAAGGAAAGGGUGGAGUUUAGAUACUUAAGUACAUGUUAUCUAGUAGUACUUUGGCUACUCUAUGUUGCUUGUGUACUUGCCCUUCUGUUGUACCCUUCCCUCUGUGUUUUUAUAAGAUUCUCUUAUUCACAA